rnacentral:rRNA from 1 species
AGAAUCAACGCUGGCGGCGUGCCUAACACAUGCAAGUCGAACGAGAAAGGGUAGCAAUACCUGAGUAAAGUGGCGCACGGGUGAGUAACACGUGACUAACCUACCCUGGAGUGGGGGAUAACUGAGGGAAACCUUAGCUAAUACCGCAUAAUACCUACGGGUCAAAGGAGCAAUUCGCUUCAGGAGGGGGUCGCGGCCGAUUAGUUAGUUGGCGGGGUAAUGGCCCACCAAGACGAUGAUCGGUAUCCGGCCUGAGAGGGCGCACGGACACACUGGAACUGAAACACGGUCCAGACUCCUACGGGAGGCAGCAGUGGGGAAUUUUGCGCAAUGGGGGGAACCCUGACGCAGCAACGCCGCGUGGAGGAUGAAGUCCUUCGGGACGUAAACUCCUUUCGAUCGGGACGAUUAUGACGGUACCGGAAGAAGAAGCCCCGGCUAACUUCGCGCCAGCAGCCGC